GAGGAAAGAGGGAGGCGUGCCUAAUACAUGCAAGUCGAGCGAACAGACGAGGAGCUUGCUCCUUUGACGUUAGCGGCGGACGGGUGAGUAACACGUAGGUAACCUACCUAUAAGACUGGGAUAACUUCGGGAAACCGGAGCUAAUACCGGAUAAUAUUUCGAACCGCAUGAUUCGAUAGUGAAAGAUGGCUUUGCUAUCACUUAUAGAUGGACCUGCGCCGUAUUAGCUAGUUGGUAAGGUAACGGCUUACCAAGGCAACGAUACGUAGCCGACCUGAGAGGGUGAUCGGCCACACUGGAACUGAGACACGGUCCAGACUCCUACGGGAGGCAGCAGUAGGGAAUCUUCCGCAAUGGGCGAAAGCCUGACGGAGCAACGCCGCGUGAGUGAUGAAGGUCUUCGGAUCGUAAAACUCUGUUAUUAGGGAAGAACAAACGUGUAAGUAACUGUGCACGUCUUGACGGUACCUAAUCAGAAAGCCACGGCUAACUACGUG
rnacentral:rRNA from 1 species